ensembl:miRNA Mir6411 microRNA 6411
AUCCUGGUUGCAUGUGGACUGUAGCAUGUGUAGGACAUAAUGAUCCUAUCAAGAUCUGUAUCCUUAUGAAGAUUCAGGCAUGCUUCUUCUCGUCAAACUAGCCAGGAA